rnacentral:rRNA from 1 species
AUUGAACGCUGGCGGAAUGCUUUACACAUGCAAGUCGAACGGCAGCACGGACUUCGGUCUGGUGGCGAGUGGCGAACGGGUGAGUAAUGUAUCGGAACGUGCCCAGUCGCGGGGGAUAACGUAGUGAAAAUUACGCUAAUACCGCAUACGAUCUAUGGAGGAAAGCGGGGGAUCUCAAGACCUCGCGCGAUUGGAUCUGCCGUUGACAGAUUAUGUAGUUGGUGGGGUAAAGGCCCACCCAGCAAACGAUCUGUAGCUGGUCUGAGAGGACGACCAGCCACACUGGAACUGAGACACGGUCCAGACUCCUACGGGAGGCAGCAGUGGGGAAUUUUGGACAAUGGGCGAAAGCCUGAUCCAGCCAUUCCGCGUGCAGGAUGAAGGCCCUCGGGUUGUAAACUGCUUUUGUACAGAACGAAAAGGUUUCUACUAAUACUAGGAGCUCAUGACGGUACUGUAAGAAUAAGCACCGGCUAACUACGUGCCAGCCGCCGCGGUAA